CGAAGCUGUUCUCUCACAGCUGGACGAUGGGCGCCUUCAUCUGCAAGCUGCUGCAUUACCUGCAGAGCGUGUCCGCCAUCUGCUCCGUGCUGACGCUCACCGCCAUGAGCAUCGAGAGGUACUACGCCAUCGUGCACCCGAUGCGAGCAAAGUACACGUGUACCAUCCGUCAGGCGCGGAGGGUGAUCCUCAUCAUUUGGACGGCUUCUCUGCUGCUAGCUGUGCCCAUCAUCUUCGUACAGGGUCACAAGGAGGUGGGAACGCACGUACGUGCGUACUGGUGCAUCCGCGAUUGGGAGAUCCCGCUGUGGUGGCGGCUGCACGAGGUGUACAUGCUGCUGCUCAUCCUCGUCAUCCCCACCUGCAUCAUGACGGCCACCUACAGCGCCGUCUGCUGGGAGGUGUGGCGCGUCACCAAGACGCGCCACGGCAUGACCGCCGGCUCGUUAAAAUCUUCUGGUUCGUGCCGGCACAGCGAAAGUUUCAUCCUGCGGUCCAGCAAGAAAGGAGGAACAGUUCACACGUGUCUGAAGAAGACUCCGUCCAGCAGGUCUGAAGACGACACCGCUGCUGUCAAGCAGCUAAUCAAGAUGCUGGUGGCAAUUGUCAUUCUCUUUGUCAUCUCCUGGGGGCCAUCACUAAUUGACAAUGUGCUGACAGCUUAUGGUGUUAUACCUUGGCAGAAACAUGGAAUGGUGUACAAAGACAUGAGCACAGCCUUCUUGCUCAUGGCUUACUGUAACAGCUGUAUCAACCCUGUGGUGUAUGGAUUUAUGUCAAAAAAUUUCCGAGAGAGCUUCAAAAAGGCCUUGUGCCGGUGGCAUAACUAUGGUGCACUGACACUUCAAGGAUCCUCCUACAAGAACAAGAGGCACAUGUCACUCUCGCAGACACGGACCACUUCUGUCCGGUAUGUGUCCGGAUGUUGCUGGCCAUGUCACUCGAGGAGUGAGGGCAAGUAGAAAAAUCACUGUGUGGCCUUCUUUGGCACUCAUGAAAAAUGAAGUGGCUGUACCUGAUAAAGAAAAUACCUACAGUCAAACCACUUUGGACGCAGUACCUCUGUAAGUGCAAAUCAAAGGUGACAUUGGAACCAAGAGCAAGAAGAAGAACUUUAAAGAGUUACAAACCGUACGGAGUCUAUCAUGUCUACAAAGUAGAACAUUUGGUAACAUGUUGAGACUUGCAUUGACAUCGUGAUGAAGUGCUAGAAAUACUAAGUAUUUCAGUUCGUGAAUACAGUCUGAAGAAUUUCUAGAUGUUAAAGUGAUUAUAUAGUAAGCCAUGCCUGAUAAAAGAAUAAUGGGAUAAAAACUGUUUCUCUGAAGGAUUUCAGUAUACUUCUCUGAAAUAAAUAAUCAAACAAGAAGGGACUGGCUGUAAUUCUGCCACUGCUCUAUGAUUAGUACUAAACUAUUUUAAAGAAAGUACAAGACUUUUUCCAUUUACUGUGUUCUUGCUGUGUGUGACUGUAUGAAAUAAAAGGAGUGUUGGCUUUUUUUCUGGAAGGAACAAUAUAGUAUGUUUUGGCUAAAUGAGAAUCUGUGUUGGUGUAUGGAAACAUUUUGCUGUUAGUAAAUUAAAAGUAUAUUGACAUUUGUUCAGACUCUUAUGAUGUGUGUUAAUGGAUUGCUAUCUGUUCCUGAUAGAACAAACUAUGUACCAGCAUCAAAUAGUAUUAGAUAAAUGAAACUGUAAAUGUUGUCUACUG
rnacentral:misc_RNA from 1 species